rnacentral:rRNA from 1 species
UACGUAGGGUGCGAGCGUUGUCCGGAAUUAUUGGGCGUAAAGAGCUCGUAGGCGGUGUGUCACGUCGGCCGUGGAAACCUGCAGCUUAACUGUGGGCGUGCGGUCGAUACGGGCAUCACUGGAGUUCGGCAGGGGAGACUGGAAUUCCUGGUGUAGCGGUGAAAUGCGCAGAUAUCAGGAGGAACACCGGUGGCGAAGGCGGGUCUCUGGGCCGAUACUGACGCUGAGGAGCGAAAGCGUGGGGAGCAAACAGG